AUACCUUUCUCGGCCUUUUGGCUAACAUCAAGUGUAGUAUCUGUUUUUAUCAGUUUAAUAUCUGAUAUGUGGGGUACACCAUUACGCUGUGGUGUUCCAUGUGGCGUGAGCUGUGAAACUAUUUCCACAUUGUUUUAAAUGAAGGCCAAACUCAU
rfam:Triticum aestivum genome assembly, contig: Triticum_aestivum_CS42_TGACv1_scaffold_129299_2BL